CAGCAGCCGCGGUAAUACGGAGGGUSCAAGCGUUAUCCGGAUUCACUGGGUUUAAAGGGUGCGUAGGUGGGCAGAUAAGUCAGUGGUGAAAUCUUUCGGCUUAACUGGAAAACUGCCGUUGAUACUAUUUGUCUUGAAUAUUGCGGAGGUAAGCGGAAUAUGUCAUGUAGCGGUGAAAUGCUUAGAUAUGACAUAGAACACCAAUUGCGAAGGCAGCUUACUACACAAUUAUUGACACUGAGGCACGAAAGCGUGGGUAGCGAACAGGAUUAGAUACCCUGGUAGUCCACGCCCUAAACGAUGAUUACUCGACAUAUGCGAUAUACUGUAUGUGUCUGAGCGAAAGCAUUAAGUAAUCCACCUGGGAAGUACGACCGCAAGGUUGAAACUCAAAGGAAUUGAC
rnacentral:rRNA from 1 species